AGUCUGCUCUCUCGCGCUGUCUCCUGCCUUCGGCGGGUUAACAGCUUCACGUGCACUUCAUAAUAGACGGGCCUGGUAAUUUAAAAUGAGCCUCGCUGGCUGAGGCGCCCUAGGCCACCCCGCACUCCUGCAGCUGUUUAAAGGGACAGCCACACGGCAUCUGCUCCUGUCAGUCCAAAGCGCAGAACUUGAGCUUUUCCUCCCUCGUACGAACUGUAUAUACUGACUUCUAUGGCACACACGCACGUGGAGUUUUGCCAACGGGUGGCAACAAAAGCUGCGUCAAGCGCUGUCAUGCUACCCAGGGCGGCCUUUGUCCAAUGAAUGAAAGUUAUAAAGGUCCUGCUCCAGCCUCACGUUGGACCACGCUGAAGGAACGUCCCCGUGUCCCAGCGCUGCUGGGUUCAGGUGCACCACUGCUGUCCUUGAAGACCUCACAGAGGACUGUCCUCCUACUUCUGAAGGAAGAAGCUCACAUAAGAUGCCUUCAUCCAUCUACUGCAUCUCUCUAAAGCCCUCUUGAGAGCAUGUUUUAUGCACACCGGGUCUGCAGAAACAUGAAGUUUGAUCCUUUAUGAAUGGAAAUGUUUGUUGUGGAUUCUUAAAGAGCAGCAGAGUUCCUGUCAGCUUGACCACUGGAAGAGCUCUCAAAUUCCCUGGAAUGAUGCCCAUUUCUCCUGGAAUUAGGGCUUGCUUACUUCACCCUUACCUGUUCACCCUUCCCCGGACCACGUCUGGGCUAACGCCAGCUGGCCUCUAGCUCUCUCUAGAUACUUCUGUCUUGGCUCCACAUCCAGCACUUUUUUGGCUUCAGAUCAAAAUUUCUCUCCAAGAAGCCUAAGUAAUCUUGACAUGUUCACUAUCCCCUCUUUACCGCCCUUGGUCUCUAAACUGGCAUGCUUUUAUUUAUCAAGCCCUGUACACAGGACACAGCUACGGUCCCCGAGUCUGCCGUCUUCUUUCUGUUAGUCCGUUCUAAAUUCUUGACAUGUUUUUUCCUUUUCCUACAUUCCAUAUUUAUUACAUUUGGAAUAAAUAGAUACAAAAUCAUAUAUGGCAAUCAACGUGAUUCAUUCCCAUAGCACUUGAAUAUACACACUGUAUGCAUUUUAAAAAAUAAUAGUAUCAAUGCCU